rfam:Gallus gallus mitochondrial genome
AAAAGACUUAGUCCUAACCUUUCUAUUGGUUUUUGCUAGACAUAUACAUGCAAGUAUCCGCAUCCCAGUGAAAAUGCCCCCAAACCUUUCUUCCCAAGCAAAAGGAGCAGGUAUCAGGCACACUCAGCAGUAGCCCAAGACGCCUUGCUUAAGCCACACCCCCACGGGUACUCAGCAGUAAUUAACCUUAAGCAAUAAGUGUAAACUUGACUUAGCCAUAGCAACCCAGGGUUGGUAAAUCUUGUGCCAGCCACCGCGGUCAUACAAGAAACCCAAAUCAAUAGCUACCCGGCGUAAAGAGUGGCCACAUGUUAUCUGCACCAGCUAAGAUUAAAAUGCAACCAAGCUGUCAUAAGCCUAAGAUCCACCUAAACCCAACCCAAAUCCAUCUUAGCCUCAACGAUUAAUUUUAACCCACGAAAGCUAGGACCCAAACUGGGAUUAGAUACCCCACUAUGCCUAGCCCUAAAUCUAGAUACCUCCCAUCACACAUGUAUCCGCCUGAGAACUACGAGCACAAACGCUUAAAACUCUAAGGACUUGGCGGUGCCCCAAACCCACCUAGAGGAGCCUGUUCUAUAAUCGAUAAUCCACGAUUCACCCAACCACCCCUUGCCAGCACAGCCUACAUACCGCCGUCGCCAGCCCACCUCUAAUGAAAGAACAACAGUGAGCUCAAUAGCCCCUCGCUAAUAAGACAGGUCAAGGUAUAGCCUAUGGGGUGGGAGAAAUGGGCUACAUUUUCUAACAUAGAACAAACGAAAAAGGAUGUGAAACCCGCCCUUAGAAGGAGGAUUUAGCAGUAAAGUGAGAUCAUACCCCCUAAGCUCACUUUAAGACGGCUCUGAGGCACGUACAUACCGCCCGUCACCCUCUUCACAAGCCAUCAACAUCAAUAAAUAUAUACUUCCCCUCCCGGCUAAAGACGAGGCAAGUCGUAACAAGGUAAGUGUACCGGAAGGUGCACUUAGACUACCAAGGCG